AACGAACGCUGGCGGCAGGCCUCAAACAUGCAAGUCUAGGGGGUGUAGCAAUACAUCACCGGCGGACGGGUGCGUAACGCGUGGGAAUAUACCUAUCGAUUCGGAACAACUGAGGGAAACUUCAGCUAAUACCGAAUACGUCCUAACGGAGAAAGAUUUAUCGUCGAUAGAUUAGCCCGCGUUCGAUUAGCUAGUUGGUGGGGUAACGGCCCACCAAGGCGACGAUCGAUAGCUGUUCUGAGAGGAAGAUCAGCCACACUGGGACUGAGACACGGCCCAGACUCCUACGGGAGGCAGCAGUUGGGAAUCUUGGACAAUGGGGGAAACCCUGAUCCAGCCAUGCCGCGUGAGUGAUGAAGGCCUUCGGGUUGUAAAACUACUUUCGCGCACGACGAUAAUGACGGUAGUGCGAGAAGAAGCUCCGGCUAACUUCGUGCCAGCAGCCGCGGUAAU
rnacentral:rRNA from 1 species